CAUGGGCUUAUGGUUAAGGUCUCUCCUUGUAAACUACAAACGAGGUUUGUUCUUGGCUACAGCUAGUGGUGAGCAAGGAGAGACCUUAACCAUGAGCUUGGG